GUGCUCGCUUUGGCAGCACAUAUACUAAAACUGGAACGAUACAGAGAAGAUUAGCAUGGUUCCUGCACAAGGAUGACACACAGAUUUGUGAAUCGGUCCAUAUUUUA